GUACCUGACUAAGAAGCACCGGCUAAAUACGUGCCAGCAGCCGCGGUAAUACGGAGGAUGCGAGCGUUAUCCGGAUUUAUUGGGUUUAAAGGGUGCGUAGGCGGGACGCCAAGUCAGCGGUAAAAUGUCGGGGCUCAACCCCGUUGUGCCGUUGAAACUGGCGUUCUUGAGUGGGCGAGAAGUAUGCGGAAUGCGUGGUGUAGCGGUGAAAUGCAUAGAUAUCACGCAGAACUCCGAUUGCGAAGGCAGCAUACCGGCGCCCUACUGACGCUGAAGCACGAAAGCGUGGGUAUCAAACAGGCUUAGAUACCCUGGUAGUCCACGCAGUAAACGAUGAACACUAAUUGUCCGGCGCGAAUGAGCGCUGGGUGAUACAGCGAAAGCGUUAAGUGUUCCACCUGGGGAGUACGCCGGCAACGGUGAAACUCAAAGGAAUUGACGGGGGCCCGCACAAGCGGAGGAACAUGUGGUUUAAUUCGAUGAUACGCGAGGAACCUUACCCGGGCUCAAACGACGCAGGAAUGUUUUUGAAAGGAGGCAGCCCUUCGGGGCCUGCGUCGAGGUGCUGCAUGGUUGUCGUCAGCUCGUGCCGUGAGGUGUCGGCUUAAGUGCCAUAACGAGCGCAACCCCCAUUGACAGUUGCUAACAGGUAAAGCUGAGGACUCUGUCGAGACUGCCGGCGCAAGCUGUGAGGAAGGCGGGGAUGACGUCAAAUCAGCACGGCCCUUACGUCCGGGGCGACACACGUGUUACAAUGGCAGGUACAGCGGGAGGCCACCUGGCGACAGGGAGCGGAACCCGAAAGCCUGUCUCAGUUCGGAUUGGAGUCUGCAACCCGACUCCAUGAAGCUGGAUUCGCUAGUAAUCGCGCAUCAGCCACGGCGCGGUGAAUACGUUCCCGGGCCUUGCACACACCGCCCGUCA
rnacentral:rRNA from 1 species